rnacentral:rRNA from 1 species
AAUGUUAUAAAAUUGUAAAAUUAAAAUUUUUAUAUUAAAGUAAAUUUGAAUUUUACCUUUUGUAUCAGGGAUUAUUUAAAUUAAAAUUUUAAUAAAUUAAUCGAUAAUAAAAUAAUUAGUUUUAUUUUAAUGUUAAUAUUACAAAAUUAUUUUUAAAAUAAAACUAGUUUUUAUAUAAUUUCAAUUUUUUAGGUAUCUAUUUUAUUUAUAAAAAAAUUAUUUUAAGUUAUUUUAUUAAUUUAAUAAAAUAACAUAAUAUUUUUUGGAUAAUCUAAAAAUAUCAAUUAAAAGUUUAGCCUAAAUAAUUAAUAAAAUUAAAAUUAAAGUUUUUAAUUUUAAUAACUUUUUAUAAAAAAAUAAUUUAAAUUAAAAUAUUUUUAAUAACUUUAAAAAUAAAAAAAAAAUUAGAAAACUUUACCUUAAUUAUUAAAAUGAUAUUAUUAUUAAAUAUUUUAUUUUAAAAUUAAAUUUUAAAUUAAAAACUAAUAAAACUAGACUAAAAAUAUUUAAAUGUUUAACAAAAACAUUUCCUGAAGUAUUAAUUUUCAGGUAAUACCUGCUCAAUGAAAAAUUAAAUGGCUGCAUUAUUGUACUAAGGUAGCAUAAUAAUUAGAAUUUUAAUUAAAUUCCAGAAUGAAUGGUUUAAUAAAAUAUUUUUUUUUAUUAGAAUCAAAUAUAAAUUAAUUUUUUAGUCAAAAAGCUAAGAUAAAACAAAAAGACAAUAAGACCCUAAAAAUUUCAGUUUACUUUUAUUGGGGCAAUAAAUAAAAUUUUAUAUUAAUUUUUAAUUUUAAAGAUCUUUAUUAAAAAUAAAUUAAAUUACUUUAGGGAUAACAGCAUAAUUUUAUUUUAAGAACUUAUUAUAAAUAAAGUUUAUGACCUCGAUGUUGGAUUAAAAUUUUAAUAAAGCACAAAUUAUAAAAUAAAGGUCUGUUCGACCAAAUAAUUUCACAUGAUCUGAGUUCAGACCGGCGUAAGCCAGGUCAGUUUAUACCUUUUAUAUAACUUAUUUUUAAUAGUACGAAAGGACCUUAAUAAUUUUAAAUAUAAAUAAAAUUUAUAUAUCUUUAUAGUUUAAUUUCUAAACUAAUAAUAAUAUUAAUA